UAAAUAUUAUGAUUUAUUAAAUUUAAUUUAAAUUUAUUUUACAUAUAAAUUUUAGUAUGAAUUUUAUAUUAUUUUAAAAAUAUUAUAUAAUAAAAGUAGUAAUUAAUAUUAAAAAUUUAAGAAAUUAAGAUUUAGUAAUAUUUUUAUUAUAGACAAAUUUUGUGCCAGCAGUUGCGGUUAUACAAAAUAUAAUUUAAAUUUUAUUAGUUAAUAAUUAAUAAUAAUAAAUUAAAAAUUAAAUAUUAAAUUAUUAGGUGAAAUUUUAAUUUAAUGUAAAUUUUAAAUUAAUAUUAUGUUUUAUAAGAUUUUAUAAAAAACUAGGAUUAGAUACCCUAUUAUUAAAAAUUAAAAAUAAAAACUAAAAUAGUAUAUAAUAAUUUAUUGAAACUUAAAUAAGUUGGCGGUAUUUUAGUUCAUUUAGAGGAAUCUGUCUAAUAAUUGAUAAUCCACGAAUAAAUUUACUUAAUAUUUAAUUUUGUAUAUCGUUGUUAAAAAAAUAUUUUUUAAUAAAAAUAAUAUUUAAAAAUUAAAAUAAAAAAUUAAUUCAGAUCAAGAUGCAGAUAAUAAUUAAGAAUAUGAUGGAUUACAAUAAUAAAUAUAAUUAAAUGAAUAAUAUUUUGAAAUAAAUAUUUGAAGGUGGAUUUAAAUGUAAUUUUAUUUAAUUUAAUAAAAUGAUUAUAAAUUAAAAUAUGUACAUAUUGCCCGUCGCUUUCAUUAAUAAAUUGAAAUAAGUCGUAACAAAGUAGAGGUACUGGAAAGUGUUUCUAGAAAGAA
rnacentral:rRNA from 1 species